rnacentral:lncRNA from 1 species
GUUUGGGGUUGGGUGUGGAUGCGAUUAUUUAUAACCCUCCCCUUUUAAUCUGAGCCGUCCAUCAUGAUUUAAUCUGGGCCGUCCGAUCGCGAUUCAAUUGGAAAUAAAUCUGGGCCGUCCGCACGCGCGAGAUCUGGCCCGUCCACGCGCGCCUUUGAUCUGGGCCGUUCGUGCGCGCGGGAACGGAUCUGGACCGUUCGAUCGUGCGCACGCAGAUCGCCAACGUGUCUCCAUCCCGCAUGGCUUCCCGCGUCAGUGUCCCUGCCACGCAGCGUGUCCUUAUUUGCCGAGGCUGCUGACCGAGCUGCUGACGUGGCAUUAUUUUUCUAAAUCGAGUUUUGACCCCCGAUUU